CACUGUGAAGCUAAUCAGCAUUAACCUUUUAAGUUAAAGAUCGGAAGCCAAACAACCUUUCCACAGUGA
rnacentral:tRNA from 1 species